rnacentral:rRNA from 1 species
GAUGAACGCUGGCGGCGUGCCUAACACAUGCAAGUCGAGCGAUUCUCUUCGGAGAAGAGCGGCGGACGGGUGAGUAACGCGUGGGUAACCUGCCCUGUACACACGGAUAACAUACCGAAAGGUAUGCUAAUACGAGACAAUAUACUUUUAUCGCAUGGUAGAAGUAUCAAAGCUCCGGCGGUACAGGAUGGACCCGCGUCUGAUUAGCUAGUUGGUAAGGUAACGGCUUACCAAGGCGACGAUCAGUAGCCGACCUGAGAGGGUGAUCGGCCACAUUGGAACUGAGACACGGUCCAAACUCCUACGGGAGGCAGCAGUGGGGAAUAUUGCACAAUGGGCGAAAGCCUGAUGCAGCAACGCCGCGUGAGCGAUGAAGGCCUUCGGGUCGUAAAGCUCUGUCCUCAAGGAAGAUAAUGACGGUACUUGAGGAGGAAGCCCCGGCUAACUACGUGCCAGCCGCCGCGGUAAAAC